AUGGGGGCGGCGGCGCCGCUGACGCUGCGGGACUUCCUGGAGAUGGCGUGCGAGUCCAGCUGCAGCGACGGCUUCCGCUCCUACCCGCGCCGCCUGCUCCCCUGCCCCGUCUCCCACUCCGACGACGCCACGCAGGAGAAGCUUAAGGCGGAGACGGCGCCCGUGCGCCUCCUCAUCGAGGCCGACCUGCGGCGGAGCCCGUCCCGGACGCUCUCCUCCAUCCUCUUCCCCCGGAGCCCCCGGUCGCUGGCCGCCAUCUCGCGCCUCUCCAGGACCCUCUCGCGGCGGCUCGUCUUCUGGAGGCGCCACCCCGGCGACGACGACGGCAGCGAGCGGGACUCUCUCGGCCUCCCGUCGCCCGUCGUCAGCAGCUGCUCCGCGUCCGAGCACGCCGAGUCGGACGCGGAGGCGCCUGGCCCGCCGCCCGUCGACGCGGCGGAGGAGAAGCCCGCCUCGAAGCCUUCGCCGUCGUCCAGCUCGGGCAGCGUCGACGCGGACGACGGCCACGCCGCCGCCGGAGCCAAGCACAAGGAGCAGCAAGCCGAUGGUGGCGAUGCCGUGGGGUCGACGGAGGAGGAGAAGCAGCAGCUGAGCCCCGUCUCCGUCAUGGACUUCCCCUUCCAUGACGACGACGAAACGAGCGACGCCGGCACCUGCUCGCCUGCUACCUCCUUCCAGCACUGCCUCCCCGACGAUCCCGAACGUACGUUACGGUCGAACAAGGCGCAGGCGCAGGAACUGCUGCUGCUGCACAAGAUCCGACGGCUCGACGGCCUGGCGCAGGCUGUGGGCCCCGUGGAUCUCGAGGCGCAGUUCGGCACCGAAUCUGAUCGCCAGUCUGCGGAAUCUGACGACACGCACACCCAGACGAGCAACUGCAGCAGCACCAGCGCCGACCACGGCGUGGCGGCGACGUGGUCACCACGGUGCCGGAGCGCCGAUCGUGAUGCAGAGCGCGAGCCUGACGUGCCCCGGCGCCUCCUCGCGCGACUCCUCAAAGACGACGACGACGACGGCACGGCAGUUACUUCGGGUGCCACGGAACGGCUGCUCCUGGACUUCUUCGCGGAGGGGCUCGACCGGCGCCGUGCGUCGGAGGCAGGGCCGGUGGUCUCCCCGGUGAGGCCGUCGGACGACGAGUCGGCGCUGGUGCGUGCGGCACAGGAUUGGGUGCAAGGUGCCGGCACGCGGUGGGGCGCGGAGGACGUGCUGUUCGCCGGGGAGGCGGCGCUGGCGGACAUGGACCGGGGUCGGCGGUGGGUGCGCGCCGGCGAGGAGGAGCGGGAGGUCGGCGCCGCGUUGGAGGGGCUGGUGAUGGACGAGCUGGUGGCCGAGCUUGUGAGCGACUUGGCACUGGCACGCCGUUGA
rnacentral:rRNA from 1 species